rnacentral:rRNA from 1 species
GACAGAGGGGCAAGCGUUGCUCGGAAUCACUGGGCGUAAAGCGCACGUAGGCGGCUUGUUAAGUCAGGGGUGAAAUCCUGGAGCUCAACUCCAGAACUGCCUUUGAUACUGGCGAGCUUGAGUUCGGGAGAGGUGAGUGGAACUGCGAGUGUAGAGGUGAAAUUCGUAGAUAUUCGCAAGAACACCAGUGGCGAAGGCGGCUCACUGGCCCGAUACUGACGCUGAGGUGCGAAAGCGUGGGGAGCAAACAGG